UGGACUGAAGAAGCAGAGUAGAGAAUAGGUGAAUUGGAAGAUAAAAUGAUGGAAAAAGAGGAAGCUGAGAAAAAGAGAGAUAAAAAAAUGCAGGAGUAUGAGGGGAGAAUUAGAGAACUAAGUGAUGUAAUCAAAUGGAACAAUAUCUGUAUCAUAGGAAU